UACGGGGGGGGCAAGCGUUGUUCGGAAUUACUGGGCGUAAAGAGCUCGUAGGCGGUUUGUCGCGUCGACUGUGAAAACCCGAGGCUUAACCUCGGGCCUGCAGUCGAUACGGGCAGACUAGAGUUCGGUAGGGGAGACUGGAAUUCCUGGUGUAGCGGUGAAAUGCGCAGAUAUCAGGAGGAACACCGGUGGCGAAGGCGGGUCUCUGGGCCGAUACUGACGCUGAGGAGCGAAAGCGUGGGGAGCGAACAGG
rnacentral:rRNA from 1 species